UUUAUUGGAGAGUUUGAUCCUGGCUCAGGACGAACGCUGGCGGCGUGCCUAAUACAUGCAAGUCGAGCGGACCUUUCAAGAGCUUGCUCUUGAAAGGUUAGCGGCGGACGGGUGAGUAACACGUGGGCAACCUGCCCUGUAGACUGGGAUAACUUCGGGAAACCGGAGCUAAUACCGGAUAAUCAAUAACACCACAUGGUGUUAUUGUAAAAGUUGGGUUUACCUAACACUACGGGAUGGGCCCGCGGCGCAUUAGCUAGUUGGUGAGGUAAUGGCUCACCAAGGCGACGAUGCGUAGCCGACCUGAGAGGGUGAUCGGCCACACUGGGACUGAGACACGGCCCAGACUCCUACGGGAGGCAGCAGUAGGGAAUCUUCCGCAAUGGACGAAAGUCUGACGGAGCAACGCCGCGUGAGUGAUGAAGGCCUUCGGGUCGUAAAGCUCUGUUGUUAGGGA
rnacentral:rRNA from 2 species